AACAGGCUGUUCUGUCAUCUUGCUCCUCUCCAGAACACUAACAAUUUUAACACUUAGUUAAGAAAAAGAAAUUUAAACUGCUACCAACUGCAUUUCCAGCUAAAGAUAUUAGGCAGAAGAUAGAGUUAUGAAUCUUCUGGGAUCUACUUAUCCAUUCAAACAUAGAUGCCUACUUUCACAUGGACACAGGCAGGACUUUAUGACAAUAUCAUAAAUGGAUUGAGAAAUGAAGACUAAUUCCUGUCCACUG
rnacentral:lncRNA from 1 species